UACGUAGGGUGCAAGCGUUAAUCGGAAUUACUGGGCGUAAAGCGUGCGCAGGCGGUUUGUUAAGUCUGUUGUGAAAUCCCCGAGCUCAACUUGGGAAUUGCAAUGGAUACUGGCAGGCUGGAGUAUGGUAGAGGAAGGUGGAAUUCCCGGUGUAGCAGUGAAAUGCGUAGAGAUCGGGAGGAACACCAGUGGCGAAGGCGGCCUUCUGGACCAAUACUGACGCUCAUGCACGAAAGCGUGGGGAGCAAACAGG
rnacentral:rRNA from 1 species